AUUGAACGCUGGCGGCAGGCCUAACACAUGCAAGUCGAGCGGAUGAAGGGAGCUUGCUCCUGGAUUCAGCGGCUGACGGGUGAGUAAUGCCUAGGAAUCUGCCUGGUAGUGGGGGAUAACGUCCGGAAACGGGCGCUAAUACCGCAUACGUCCUGAGGGAGAAAGUGGGGGAUCUUCGGACCUCACGCUAUCAGAUGAGCCUCGGUCGGAUUAGCUAGUUGGUGGGGUAAAGGCCUACCAAGGCGACGAUCCGUAACUGGUCUGAGAGGAUGAUCAGUCACACUGGAACUGAGACACGGUCCAGACGCCUUGGGGAGGCAGCAGUGGGGAAUAUUGGACCAAGGGCGAAAGCCUGAUCCAGCCAUGCCGCGUGUGUGAAGAAGGUCUUCGGAUUGUAAAGCACUUUAAGUUGGGAGGAAGGGCAGUAAGUUAAUCCCUUGCUGUUUUGACGUCACCAACAGAAUAAGCACCGGCUAACCUCGUG
rnacentral:rRNA from 1 species